GAGUUUGAUCCUGGUUCAGAACGAACGCUGUUCGGCGGGUUUAGGCAUGCAAGUCGCGCGAGAAAGGGUAACCCGAGUACAGCGGCGUAAGGGUGAGUAAUGGUUAGCUAACGUACCCUUUGGACGCGGAUAAUUCUUCGAAAGGAGUUGUAAUACGCGAUGAGACCACGCGCACUCCGGUGCGAGGGGUCAAAGGCUGGGGAUCCUUCGGGACCCAGCGGCCAAGGGAGCGGGCGAACUCUGAUUAGCUAGUUGGCGGGGUAACGGCCCACCAAGGCGAUGAUCAGUAGCCGGGCUGAGAGGCUGUCCGGCCACACGGGCACUGAGACAC
rnacentral:rRNA from 1 species